GUAAGCUACUAAGAGCGAAUGGUGGAUGCCUUGGUUGGUAGAGGCGAUGAAAGACGUGCUAGACUGCGAUAAGUCUCGGGGAG
rnacentral:rRNA from 1 species